GCCGAGAUGGUGAAAUUGGCAGACACGCAGCGUUCAGGGCGCUGUGGGCGUAAGCCUGUGAGGGUUCAAAUCCCUCUCUCGGCA
rnacentral:tRNA from 1 species